CCACUUUAUCAAGCCAGUCAAGGUAUUUCUCAUUGUUUUCUAUCUUGGGUUCAGUCCUAAAUUUAGAUUUCAAAAAACUUAGGUCAUAUGGACCUUUUGAGAAAAUAAGAGGCAAUUGUGCCUCGUUACAAGGAAAAACAGAGUCUAGUUUUUUCUGAUCGUCGGAGUCGUCCGGCAAAGGCCCUAGGUAUGCAUGCGAUGAGUUUGGGCAUGAGAUGAUUACCUGGGAUUUCCAGAUUCUGUCUUCAGCUUCCCUGACGUCUGGUUCUUCCAUAAACUGAGUAUUUAUGGGGAGAUUGACAUUUGGUUCAUGUUGUUUCGUUGGUUGAGAAGAAGAACCUUCUACGCGCGCCAUGAAGAUUUCAAAAUUUUGUUUUGUUGAAUAAUGAACAGUAUUUUGAAAUCGUAAGGUAGAAGAAGGGGAUGGUGAAAAGAGUAAAAAUAACUAAAGAGAAACGAAGUAAGAGUAAAAGUAUGACUCAGGGUCAUAUAUAGCUUUUGAUACUG
rnacentral:lncRNA from 1 species